GGAGGGGGCAAGCGUUAUUCGGAAUCAUUGGGCGUAAAGGGCGCGUAGGCGGCUUGAUAAGUCAAAGGUGAAAUCCCUCGGCUCAACCGGGGAACUGCCUUUGAAACUGUCUCGCUAGAGACCGGGAGAGGGUAGUGGAAUUCCCAGUGUAGCGGUGAAAUGCGUAGAUAUUGGGAGGAACACCAGUGGCGAAGGCGGCUACCUGGACCGGUACUGACGCUGAGGCGCGAAAGCGUGGGGAGCAAACAGGAUUAGAUACCCUGGGUAGUCCACGCUGUAAACGAUGGGCACUCGGUGCUGCGGGUAUCGACUCCUGCAGUGCCUUAGCUAACGCGUUAAGUGCCCCCGCCUGGGGGAGUACGGUCGCAAGGCUG
rnacentral:rRNA from 1 species